ACCUGGCUGGCUCAAUUGGUGGAGAGUGGGACUCUUGAUCUCGUGAUCGUGAGUUCGAGCCCCAUGUUGGGUG
rnacentral:tRNA from 1 species